rnacentral:rRNA from 1 species
UACGUAGGGCGCAAGCGUUGUCCGGAAUUAUUGGGCGUAAAGAGCUCGUAGGCGGUUUGUCGCGUCUGUCGUGAAAGCUUGGGGCUUAACCCCAAGUCUGCGGUGGAUACGGGCAGACUAGAGGCAGGUAGGGGAGAACGGAAUUCCCGGUGUAGCGGUGAAAUGCGCAGAUAUCGGGAGGAAGGCCGGUGGCGAAGGCGGCGCUCUGGAACGGCCCUGACACUGAGGCUCGAAAGCGUGGGGAGCAAGCAGG